rnacentral:lncRNA from 1 species
ACCAGUCCUCAUCCUCCGGAGGGGCGCCCGGGUGGAAAAGGAGAUCCGUUUUACUUCUUUCUUGACAGGAAUGGAAAAGAACCCAAGAAAUACUGCCGGUGGAGAGUCCAGCUUGGAAGCAUCUGUGUUUACAGCCAAGGAGGAAUGACUGUCAGCAGAUGGCCUUGAGGGGUCUCUAAUAGCCCUGUUUGGGGGACCUGACUGGAACACGCCUAUGGGGAGGGCCUGGAAUGCAGGGCUGUGGGUCCAGUGCCUCGUGGAAUGGUCUGGGCUUUCCAAGCACAGUUCUGCCUCUAAGGAAGCCUUGCAACAGGUGCAGGGCGCGCCUGCCCCUCCCCCUUGCUGGAGCCCGUUCCUGGUUCACCAUCAUUCUCCACAAUGGUUUUUGGCUCCAUAAAAAGCAAAGGCAUUUGGAGCCUAAAACCAAAUGCCUUUUGUGUGACAGCCUUCUUGUCAUACGUUAAUAAGACGCAGAAUUAAUGAGCACACCCUCUGCACUCCUAGUUUCCCCAGAAACUGCUGACUGGGUGGCAAAGUGGUUGUUACCAACCCUCUGGGUUAUCUUUUACGUCUGUCAGAUCUGGUCCCUUUUUAUCUCACUUUUUCCUUCCCUGGAAUGAAAAGUUCUUCAAACAGGCACUUGGAGGUUAAAUUCCUUCCUCAGGUCUGGGAAUGCUUAUAGGAAACAGGGAAGAGAGAAGGGAGCAAGAAGAGGUGUGUAAAGACAGGAAAUGAAGGGGUGAGGAGGUCAAAUGGCAUGACCAUGACUGCAUUUGGGGCAGUUGUAAGAUAAUCCACAUGCAAAUGUGGCAUUUAGUCAUUCAGAUAUAUCAGAUUGAUUGAGGGCAGAUAAACUACAAGCAAAAAAUAGAUAAAUCUUUGCCCUGUGGAGCAUACAUUAAACAAUCACCAAAAUGCAUGUAAAGAUUAGAGCUGAGGAAGUGCUGGGAAGCAGUGUUCCCUCAUCCCAUGGGAGCAUAACAUGGUAGCAUUUGAUCAAAUUAGGGAAAUCAGUGAAGGCUUCCCUGAGUAAGUGAGUAGUUGAGACGAGCUCUGAAGGAUGAAUCGGAGUUCACCAGGUGGUGUGGAGAAGGAAGAGAAUCCCAAUGGGGCAGGUGGUGUGAGUAAAGGCCGGGGGCUUGAGAACAUAUUUAUAAUACACGUAAGCAACAAAGGGUUAGAAUGAAGCGUAGUUAUCAAUCAAUUAGAAGAGAACACAACAAAAUCUCAUAAAAAAUGGACAAAGGACAUGGAAAGACAAUUGCUAAGCAAGAAAACAUAUUUGAGUCAUAAAGAUAUAUAGAGAUGUUCAAUGUAACUAGUGAUCAGGGAACUGCAGAUACCAUUUUACACCAUCUGAUUGGCAAUGAUUAAAAGGCUGACAACUUAUAUGUGGAAUCUAAACCUCUCCCCCAGCCCCCAAACCAAAAAUAACACCAAACUCAUAGAUAUAGAGAACAGAUUGGUGGUUGCCGGAGGCGGGGGGUAUGUGUGAAACGGGUGAAGAUGGUCAAAGGCACAAACUUCCAGUCAUAAAAUAAAUAGUGGGCACGUAAGGUACA